GUGCAGCAGUCGCGAAAACUCCGCAAUACGCGAAAGCGUGACGGGGCCAUCCCGAGUGCCGUCCGCUGAGGAUGGCUUUUCCCUAGUGUAGAUAGCUGGGGGAAUAAGGAGAGGGCAAGUCUGGUGUCAGCCGCCGCGGUAAUACCAGCUCCCCGAGUGGUUGGGACGAUUAUUGGGUCUAAAGCGUCCGUAGCCGGCCGGAAAAGUUCCCCGUUAAAUCUGACGAUCCAAUCGUCGGGCUGCGGGGAAUACUCUUCGGCUUGGGGGCGAGGGAGGUCGGCGGUAGUCUCGGGGUAGGGGCGAAAUCCUAUAAUCCCGAGAGGACCACCAGUGGCGAAGGCGGCCGACUAAAGCGCGCCCGACGGUGAGGGACGAAAGCUGGGGGAGCGAACGGGAUUAGAUACCCCGGUAGUCC
rnacentral:rRNA from 1 species